GAUGAACGCUGGCGGCGUGCCUAAUACAUGCAAGUCGAGCGAACAGAUGAGGAGCUUGCUCCUCUGACGUUAGCGGCGGACGGGUGAGUAACACGUGGAUAACCUACCUAUAAGACUGGGAUAACUUCGGGAAACCGUAGCUAAUACCGGAUAAUAUAUUGAACCGCAUGGUUCAAUAGUGAAAGACGGUUUUGCUGUCACUUAUAGAUGGAUCCGCGCCGCAUUAGCUAGUUGGUAAGGUAACGGCUUACCAAGGCAACGAUGCGUAGCCGACCUGAGAGGGUGAUCGGCCACACUGGAACUGAGACACGGUCCAGACCCCUACGGGAGGCAGCAGUAGGGAAUCUUCCGCAAUGGGCGAAAGCCUGACGGAGCAACGCCGCGUGAGUGAUGAAGGUCUUCGGAUCUUAAAACUCUGUUAUUAGGGAAGAACAAAUGUGUAAGUAACUAUGCACGUCUUGACGGUACCUAAUCAGAAAGCCACGGCUAACUACGUG
rnacentral:rRNA from 1 species